ensembl:snoRNA T27A3.9 ncRNA
CCGUCGAUGACGACCAAGAGUUAUCCCUGUCUGAAUGAUUGUGAGGACAAAAGACUAUGGUAACACUCCGAGACUA